AUUGAACACUAGCGGCAGGCCUUACACAUGCAAGUCGAACGAGUGGCGGACGGGUUAGUAAUGUCUGGGAAACUGCAUACUGGAGGGGGAUAACUACUGGAAACGGUAGCUAAUACAGCAUAACACCAGAUACGCCCAGAUGGGAUUAGCUAGUUGGUGGUGGAACUGCUCACCAAGGCGACGAUCCCUAGCUGGUCUGAGAGGAUGACCAGCCACACUGGAACUGAGACACGGUCUAGACGCCUACGGGAGGCAGCAGUGGGGAAUAUUGCCCAAUGGGCGCAAGCCUGAUGCAGCCAUGCCGCUUGUAUGAAGAAGGCCUUCGGGUUGUAAAGUACUUUCAGCGGGGAGGCGUUACCCGCAGAAGAAGCACCGGCUAACUCCGUGCCAGCAGCCGCGGUAAUAC
rnacentral:rRNA from 1 species